rnacentral:rRNA from 1 species
GGAGGCCAGUGAAUGGCAAGACUAGGAAUAUCUGUACUUUGUAUACAAAAAAAACUUUUCAUCUAAGUGAAAAGACUUAGAUAACUAAGGAAGACGAAAAGACCCCGCGGAACUUUACCUUUUCUUACACUUCUGUCUACAAACUUAAAGGUCUAUAAGGUUUGAUUGGGGCAAUCUUGGAAUCACUAAAGCUUCCAAUUAAUCAUAUAACAAUAUAUAAAAUUUGCUAAGGACCAAAAAGUAGUUACCCCGGGGAUAACAGCGUAAUCCAACUUAAGAGUACACAUCGAAAGUUGGGUUUGCGACCUCGAUGUUGGCUA